GACGAACGCUGGCGGCGUGCUUAACACAUGCAAGUCGAACGGAAAGGCCCUGCUUUUGUGGGGUGCUCGAGUGGCGAACGGGUGAGUAACACGUGAGUAACCUGCCCUUGACUUUGGGAUAACUUCAGGAAACUGGGGCUAAUACCGGAUAGGAGCUCCUGCUGCAUGGUGGGGGUUGGAAAGUUUCGGCGGUUGGGGAUGGACUCGCGGCUUAUCAGCUUGUUGGUGGGGUAGUGGCUUACCAAGGCUUUGACGGGUAGCCGGCCUGAGAGGGUGACCGGCCACAUUGGGCCUGAGAUACGGCCCAGACUCCCACGGGCGGCAGCAGUGGGGAAUAUUGCACAAUGGGCGGAAGCCUGAUGCAGCAACGCCGCGUGCGGGAUGACGGCCUUCGGGUUGUAAACCGCUUUCGCCUGUGACGAAGCGUGAGUGACGGUAAUGGGUAAAGAAGCACCGGCUAACUACGUG
rnacentral:rRNA from 1 species